rnacentral:misc_RNA from 1 species
CAACCCUCAAGCGCCCCCCGGGGCCUGGUGUUGGGGGCCGGCCGCGCGCCGCCCCCGAAAUGCAGUGGCGACCUCGCCGCAGCCUCCCCUGCGUAGUAGCACAACCUCGCACCGGAGCGCGGAGACGGUCACGCCGUGAAACGCCCAACUCCUAG